GCCCCCGUAGCUCAGGCGGAUAGAGCACCGGUUUCCUAAACCGGGUGUCGGGUGUUCGAGUCACCCCGGGGGCGCCA
rnacentral:tRNA from 1 species